rnacentral:rRNA from 1 species
CGUGUAGGCGGCUUAUUAAGUUGGAUGUGAAAGCUCCCGGCUCAACUGGGAGAGGACGUUCAAGACUGGUAGGCUAGAGGGCGACAGAGGGAGGUGGAAUUCCCGGUGUAGUGGUGAAAUGCGUAGAUAUCGGGAGGAACACCAGUGGCGAAGGCGGCCUCCUGGGUCGCACCUGACGCUCAGACGCGAAAGCUAGGGGAGCGAACG